CUCUUUGUGCACCCGCCCACACGGUUUGCCGUGUUUUCACCCUUCUUUGUUCUCCACCGGUCUGGGCAGGGUCUGAGGACUCCGGAGAGCAAGGCAUGGGUCCGCCUCGUGCCGCAGGUAUCCUGGGGUCCUGUGGGGAGGGCUCUGCGGUGUGGGGCCGGGUAUGAUGACCCACAUUUACAGACUAGAGUUUCUGAUGUCCACGUGACGCCACUCCUUGUAACUGACCCAGGCCGGGGUGGGGGCUGCAGGCCGGGGUCUCUACGACCUGUGCUCAUUCAAUGAUCUCUUCCAGGUUCCUGGCCCACGCCAGCCGUACCCAGUAGCACAAUGGUAAGCGCAUGCUGGCGAGAGGGAUUUGAGGACACACGCCAGCUGCCUACACCUGAAGAAAGGGUGAGCUCUGAGGACUUCACAGGGGCCCCAUCCCCUCACCUAGAUGAGGGCUAACCUUGGAAUCCAGACAAAGGUGGAAGUGACCUAGAUGUGACCUGAAUGAGCUAAUCAUCUAAUGAGAGCCAGCCCUUUGUCCUGCCCACAUGAAGGGCUUUGCUGCUACGCACUGACAAGUUGGACGGCUUUUUAUUGCUUUGUUGCCAGUUAUCUGAACAUGAGAGGCUGUAAGGUGUAAUCUGCGAGCCCUGCGCCCAGACUGAACCAGGGCCUCCCUUGAACAUGAGUAUUAGACAAAUGAAAUAAGAACUUAUCUUGCCCAGACUAUAUAAUGGCUUGGAAAUGCAUAGUUUCCUGAACGAUCUCAAUAAAAUACUUUUAAAAGUA
rnacentral:lncRNA from 1 species